GCCGGUUCGACCGGUUUAACCGCGAACCGACGCUACAAACAGUUCGGUCCUCUCCUGAAAACCGUGCAGCAAAAAACCGCUGAAGAACCGGCGAACCGGUCAAAAACCGGCCGGUUGGACCGAACCGGUGACCGGCCGGUUAUGCUAAACGACGCCGUUUUAUGAUUAAAAUAAAAAUAAAAAAAGAGCCCGACCCGACCCGCUCGAGGAGCACCCUACCUCCCUUUCUUCCCCCGACCCCAUUCAUUCAUGGAGAACCCUAGCCGCGAAGAAGGAAGAAUAAUAGCCCCCUGUCGCCGUUUCGUCCCCUGGUGUCGCCAUCCUCAGCCCCAGUAACCCUCCAAUCUCCAUCUUCGCCUGGUUCCUGCCCAGUAGCCCUCCAUCUCCAUCGACUUCAUCUUCUCAACAGCAGCACGCAGUAGCCGUCUCAUCGCGCGGUCGGCGGUCCUCAACAGUCAACACCGGUAGCCCUCCAUCGACCCCAGAUUGAUGUCUGAAGGAUUUGUUUCAUACCUGGAGUUGUGGAAAAAAAUGGAGUUUCAUUUAAAAGAUUGUAACAUCAUUUGCAGUAUCAACUACUUUGUUGAUGUAAAUAUCAAUAUUAUACUCUAAUAUGCUAUCUUGUAUUGCUUCCUUUUGUAAAUAUCAAUUUCUGACUUUCUGUGAA